rnacentral:rRNA from 1 species
AUUGAACGCUGGCGGCAGGCCUAACACAUGCAAGUCGAGCGGAUGAAGGGAGCUUGCUCCUGGAUUCAGCGGCGGACGGGUGAGUAAUGCCUAGGAAUCUGCCUGGUAGUGGGGGAUAACGUCCGGAAACGGGCGCUAAUACCGCAUACGUCCUGAGGGAGAAAGUGGGGGAUCUUCGGACCUCACGCUAUCAGAUGAGCCUAGGUCGGAUUAGCUAGUUGGUGGGGUAAAGGCCUACCAAGGCGACGACCCGUAACUGGUCUGAGAGGAUGAUCAGUCACACUGGAACUGAGACACGGUCCAGACUCCUACGGGAGGCAGCAGUGGGGAAUAUUGGACGAUGGGCGAAAGCCUGAUCCAGCCAUGCCGCGUGUGAAGAAGGUCUUCGGAUUGUAAAGCACUUUAAGUUGGGAGGAAGGGCAGUAAGUUAAUACCUUGCUGUUUUGACGUUACCAACAGAAUAAGCACCGGCUAACUUCGUG